rnacentral:tRNA from 1 species
AUUUUAUUAGUAUAUAAAGUAUAUUUGUUUUCCAAACAAGUGGUUUAAGUUGAUAUUAAAUAAAAUA